rnacentral:rRNA from 1 species
UUGACCUCAAAUCAGGUAGGAUUACCCGCUGAACUUAAGCAUAUCAAUAAGCGGAGGAAAAGAAACCAACC